rnacentral:rRNA from 1 species
AACUUCUGAAUGUUGACCUCGGAUCAGGUAGGAAUACCCGCUGAACUUAAGCAUAUCAAUAAGCGGAGGAAAAGAAACCAACAGGGAUUGCCCUAGUAACGGCGAGUGAAGCGGCAACAGCUCAAAUUUGAAAUCUGGCUCUCGGGCCCGAGUUGUAAUUUGUAGAGGAUGCUUUUGAUGCGGUGCCUUCCGAGUUCCCUGGAACGGGACGCCAUAGAGGGUGAGAGCCCCGUCUGGUUGGAUGCCAAAUCUCUGUAAAGCUCCUUCGACGAGUCGAGUAGUUUGGGAAUGCUGCUCUAAAUGGGAGGUAUAUGUCUUCUAAAGCUAAAUACCGGCCAGAGACCGAUAGCGCACAAGUAGAGUGAUCGAAAGAUGAAAAGCACUUUGAAAAGAGAGUUAAAAAGUACGUGAAAUUGUUGAAAGGGAAGCGUUUAUGACCAGACUUGGGCUUGGUUAAUCAUCUGGGGUUCUCCCCAGUGCACUUUUCCAGUCCAGGCCAGCAUCAGUUUUCGCCGGGGGAUAAAGGCUUCGGGAAUGUGGCUCUCUCCGGGGAGUGUUAUAGCCCGUUGCGUAAUACCCUGGCGGGGACUGAGGUUCGC